GACGAACGCUGGCGGCGUGCCUAAUACAUGCAAGUCGAACGCAGUGGGGACGGGUGAGUAACACGUGGGUAACCUCCCAUCAGAGGGGAUAACAUUUGGAAACAGGUGCUAAACCGAUACUGAUGGAUGGAACCGCGGUGCAUUAGCUAGUUGGUGGGGUAACGGCUCACCAAGGCCACGAUGCAUAGCCGACCUGAGAGGGUGAUCGGCCACACUGGGACUGAGACACGGCCCAGACUCCUACGGGAGGCAGCAGUGGGGAAUCUUCGGCAAUGGGCGCAAGUCUGACCGAGCAACGCCGCGUGAGUGAAGAAGGUUUUCGGAUCGUAAAGCUCUGUUGUUGGAGAAGCGGUAUCUAACCAGAAAGCAACGGCUAACUCCGUGCCAGCAGCCGCGGUAAUUC
rnacentral:rRNA from 1 species